ensembl:lncRNA
CCCCGAGCAAGACAGGCUUUCUUCCACCACUGGGAAUCUCGAUGGCUUCUUUCCUUCUCACAUCAAGUCUGAAACGAUCAAUAUUAUUAAUUCCACUGUACAGAUGAAGAAGGAAACCUGGGUUUGAAUCACGUCUGAAGAGUACCAGAGUCAGAAAUCAACACUUGCUCCCAGCACUGUUGCUUUUUCCAAGUUUGGCGUUAGUGUGUGAGAUUUCAAGUGAAAGGCAGCUGUCACUUUCUUGGUUUCCUAAAACCACCCUUACCCUCUAUGGCUUGCAAAAAUCUACAGGUUUCCAGGCCAGAACCUUCCUCCUUCAUUCUCUCCAUCUCCCACCUCUGUGGUAGAGGAUACCUAACUGUAGAAUCAUUCGUUUAUGGCCACAACCACCUGGACGGAAGGAGGACGAUUUGGAGAGAGAAAAUAGGUUGGGUCCUUUGUCCCCAAAAGUUUCUGCAUAGGGAACCUCAGUUCACUGGGGAUGUACAGCGUAGCCCUAAAGGGGGUUGACCAGGGACCAGUGCAGCUUGGGGCAGGGAAAGAGGAAAGAAUUCCAAAGUAAUGUAGCACUGUGGUUCAGGGGGCUCAGACCUCGAAUGUCUAUUGUGAAGCUUGGGGCUAGAAGAGCAUCCUACUACAAAAGUGUGAAGUCAAUCCCAGCCACCUGGUCUCUUCAGCAACCCAGCCCAGGCCGAACUCCAGACCAGUGGCCUCUGUCUGAGCAGAAUUAUCAUAGGGAACUUGGAAAUAUGAGUAAAUCUCUCUCUAGACCCUUUACUAUGUGCAUUAAUACAUUAGCGGAGAGAAACACAGGUGGGAACAGACAGAAUGAGCCUAAAAUUACCCUGGGUGCACAGCUACUAAACUUGCAGUGGUCUUCAGGAUCUGCAAGGGGCUGGCUGGAGCCCAGCAGGGCUGUGCCUGGUGUUGGCUGAAAGAGCUGCACCCUGAUGCUCUGGCGGACCCAUUUUCAUAAUGAGGACAACACAGCUGGCUACCCCUUUGGAGGCCUGACACGGCCAAGUGAGCUGCUCAGGAAAGAAGUGCCUAACGAGCUGCUGUUUUUCCUUUCCCUAUUGAUCAUUACAUGCAGAGAACUGGUGUCUUACAGGCACAUCACUGCCUUUUCUGGUGCAGCCCUCUGAGAGAUCAGUAGACCUGAUCUUUCUCAGGGAAAGUAUAAUUCUGAUGCCUGGCUUUGCAUCGUCCUUAACUCUUGAUACUCGGAAUGGAGCCAUCACUCAAAUCCCACAUGGAAUCUGAUCAGUGGGGAAUAGGGCCCUUCUUCAUUGAGUGUGUCCGAUGACUACCCUGAACAAGUGACACAGGCUCAUACACAGGUUGCAGUCUACCCAGAUUGAUAGCAACACGGGGACACUGGAAGAGAAACUGUGUCUGGGUGUGAUGGGUGCCUAUCAGUAACAUUCACGUGGGACAAAGCACAAAAGUCCUAUUUAUCAAACCUAAACACUGUGACUCUGCUAGCCCUUUGCUGCAGUGCAAGUCAGGAGAGGGUUACUAAAGCCCAAGCAGUUCAGUUCAGACAAGCAGGUGAACCAGAC